GAGUUUGAUCCUGGCUCAGAGCGAACGUUAGCGGCGCGCUUAACACAUGCAAGUCGCACGAGAAAGGGCUUCGGCCCCAGUAAAGUGGCGCACGGGUGAGUAACACGUAGGCAAUCUACCCUCAGGCGGGGGACAACGUCCCGAAAGGGACGCUAAUACCGCAUAAGACCACGAUGGCUUCGGCUGUUGGGGUAAAAGCUGGCCUCUGCAUGCAAGCUAGCACCUAAGGAUGAGCCUGCGGCCCAUCAGCUAGUUGGUAAGGUAACGGCUUACCAAGGCGAAGACGGGUAGCUGGUCUGAGAGGAUGACCAGUCACACUGGCACUGGAACACGGGCCAGACUCCUACGGGAGGCAGCAGUGGGGAAUAUUGGACAAUGGGCGAAAGCCUGAUCCAGCGACGCCGCGU
rnacentral:rRNA from 1 species